rnacentral:snRNA from 1 species
AAACUGCGAGGAUCUAGCUACAACAUCUAUCACCCCAUUAAUCUCCAAGGUUGAUUUGGCUGGCUAAGUGGGUGACCCCUUCCUCCCUGACCACUCCCUGUGUGUCCCUCUGAAGCUGUAAGCUUGGUCAAAGAUGACCUUCUUUAAUAGAGGAGGACUGUUCUUCAGUCAUGAGUACAUAAGUGGCUGAACUCCCCUUUGAACAAGCUCUCAAACUGUGGGGAUCUUCCUCUGCUCUGUAGCCCAGA